GAUGAAGAACGUAGUGAAAUGCGAUAAGUAAUGUGAAUUGCAGAAUUCAGUGAAUCAUCGAAUCUUUGAACGCACAUUGCGCCCGCCAGAAUUCUGGCGGGCAUGCCUGUUCGAGCGUCAUUACAACCCUCAGGCCCCCGGGCCUGGCGUUGGGGAUCGGCGGAAGCCCCCUGCGGGCACAACGCCGUCCCCCAAAUACAGUGGCGGUCCCGCCGCAGCUUCCAUUGCGUAGUAGCUAACACCUCGCAACUGGAGAGCGGCGCGGCCACGCCGUAAAACACCCAACUUCUGAAUGUUGACCUCGAAUCAGGUAGGAAUACCCGCUGAACUUAAGCAUAUCAAUAAGCGGAGGA
rnacentral:misc_RNA from 1 species